UAGCUCACCCUGUUAAAAAGAAAGCAAAAAUAAACAUGUAAGUCUUGUAUUCAAUGCUUUAGUGCUUCAUGUUUUUUAAUUCAAAGGGAAGUUUAUUAAGAGUGCAUAAAUUAUAUGGGAAGGAGAUGCCAGAGCCCUCUGAGUGACGGAUUACAGGACACUAAAACAGUGACGAAAGCUGUACAGGAAACAGGAAAAAAAUACAUACCUUGGCACAAGAACGACAUUUUAGCCCCUCCUGCAGCUUCAGAAUCCUUUGGCUGCAUCUCCAGCACAGUGCGGAACAGUUUUUCAGAGGUGAUGGUCAGAAAGCCAAUCUCAGCAUUUGGGUGUAAGCCAUACAAGUAUGGGCUUUCAGGAGGCAGCAUAUCAUCCAAAUAUGCAUGGUACCCCUGUGAAACACCAAGUGUUAUCAGAACUGAGCCUGUUCAGCAACAUUGGUUGAAAAAUUGGUGUGACAUUACUCACCUUAUAAUCAGAGUUGGGUGGGGCUAGGAACCCUGGAGCCAACUGCAGCUCCCCUUCCAACAGUUCAGGACGGACAUACUCCUCAAGGUACGUCUUACAAAGCUUGCGGUCCCAGUCAUCUGUGAUGUGGCCACCAUACAUAAUCUCACCAAACAGAUAGCGCAGAUCAUCCCAGGGAACCUACGGAUGCAAGACAAUGAGAAUGGAUAUUUAAGGGAUGGCUUUAAAUCACAUUCCUGUGUAAGCUUAUAUGGAAUUUUUCAUUUCUUAAAUUUAUUUUAUGCCAUUUUUUGUAAAAGGAGAACUAGUUAUUUUAUUGAAUGUGUUACCUUUGGAUUAGCUUCCAGGUAGUUGAAUAGCACAUUGACUGAAAUGGUAAGGUCACCGUUAUUAAAGGGAUAGGACCGGUUCCAGCCUUGAGCACCGAAUUUCCGUCUCUCAGCCACAACAGCAUGGAAAUAACAGAGUGAGAACAGGAUGCACUUGAACUCUGACUCCUUGGUGCACAUGUCUAAAGUAUCCUAAAAAACAACAUUUUUUGUAGUUUAAAAUUCCUAAACAUAUGCUGUAGUUAUUGUAUGAAGUUUACAUGUAUCUGAAUGACUAAAUAAACUAGAAUAAGUGUUGCUAUAUUCUGUUGAUGAUCCUUCCAAUUGAAUAAAUGGUUGGAAGUGCAUAAUCAUGUCAUUUAAAACAGUAUAACAAACAAAAUAUCACAAUUAUAAUGGUAAAACACCAUUGUUGAUUAGUGUUAACCUGGUCAAACAGAUCCAGUGCUUUGUGUAGGUUGGCAUGCAUUCCCGUUGGAGGCUCAUUGGUAAUUUUAAUGGCAUUUUCCAGCAAUCCCUGUGGGAUAAUGUGACUAUCAGGUGUAGGUGCGGGCUCUGCGCUCAUGUAUACUCGGUAGUCAUUAUGGCUCCCUGUGCUGUACAACUCCACUUUUUUAUCCAGAGUACCUAACCAUUUUGCCACCAGGUGGAUAUUCUGAAAAUAAAACAUUUUGGUAAAUGAACAAAAUGUAAACAUUUCAGUUCAUUAUGAAUCUGAUUACAAUGGCUAACCCAGGAAAGAAUUAACAUAAUUUAAAAAGCAGGGCCCCUGCUUGUAACCACUAACAGACCUUAGACUUUGGAUCUUCUUAAGCUCUUUAUUUAUCAAGCCAUAAGCGAGGCUUUGGUGUCAGUGGGUUCUCUUCAGGAUAAAGAUACAUGCAAGUGCUCGUGCUAAUAUUCUUGACUUGUCGGUCUGAUCCCUUAUCACAUGUUGAACUUCUGUAUAGAAUAUUCUGUAACGAGUAGGAAGCUACGCUGUGUACAUACAGCACGUUGAAUAGUUUUCCUCCUCCUCACAUUUCCCUGUUCUCAUACCUGCAGAAUAACCCAGUGUCCUUUCUUAGCAGCAGCAUCCAUAGCAUUCUCUGCAACCACUUCCUGGCCCUGACCCAGAGACACAUUGUGGAAUUUACAAUUGUCAAAUGUAAAGCCUAACUUCUUGCCUAUGAUAAAAUAAAGGACAUUUCCCAGUCACUCUAUGAGUUCAACAAUGUUAAGAAGAUCUGCAGCAGACUUUAUGGAGAAACUGGGAUUUAAACAGCACACCUACCCAGUGCCUCUACAUCCUUCAAUGGGUCAACUCCAGGUGAAAGGAUAAAGAACAUGGGAGUUGAGGAGCUGCUCUCUUCAUAGGAUUUAGAAAAU